rnacentral:rRNA from 1 species
UUUGACCUCACAUCAGGUAGGAC